UACGUAGGGGGCAAGCGUUGUCCGGAUUCAUUGGGCGUAAAGAGCGUGUAGGCGGCCAGGUAGGUCGGUUGUGAAAACUGGAGGCUCAACCUUCAGACGUCGACCGAAACCAUCUGGCUAGAGUCCGGGAGAGGAGAGUGGAAUUCCUGGUGUAGCGGUGAAAUGCGCAGAUAUCAGGAAGAACACCCGUGGCGAAAGCGGCUCUCUGGAACGGUACUGACGCUGAGACGCGAAAGCUAGGGGAGCGAACAGG
rnacentral:rRNA from 1 species